rnacentral:lncRNA from 1 species
CAGAAGGCCUUGGCUGUGUUUAAACAGUCCAAAGGUGAGAAUCAUUCCUCGGUUGCUUCGGUCUACGUCAGGCUUGCUGAUCUAUACAACAAGAUAGGGAAGCUGAGAGAUUCGAAGUCCUACUGCGAAAACGCGCUAAGGAUAUACCUAAAGCCGUCUCCGGGGACUCCGAUGGAAGAGGUGGCGACGGGUUUUGUAGAGAUCUCCGCGAUUUAUCAGUCGAUGAACGAGCUUGACCAAGCGCUUAAGCUGCUGAGACGCGCGUUGAAGAUAUAUGUGAAUGCUCCGGGUCAGCAGAACACGGUUGCUGGUAUUGAGGCUCAGAUGGGUGUGAUCUCUUACAUGAUGGGGAACUAUCCUGAGUCUUAUAACAUCUUCAAGAGCGCGGUUUCGAAGUUUCGAAACAGCGGAGAGAAGAAGACGGCUAUGUUUGGGAUUGCUUUGAACCAAAUGGGACUUGCGUGCGUCCAACGUUACGCGAUCAACGAAGCUGCGGAUUUGUUUGAAGAGGCGAAAGGCAUUCUUGAGAAUGAGUAUGGGCCGUACCAUCCCGACACGUUGGCGGUUUACAGUAACCUUGCCGGAACAUACGACGCAAUGGGCAGGUAUAUUACUAACACAUCUUUUUAGUUUAGGUUAUGUUUUUGAAGUUUCUUGCGGUGUAAGCAAUGUGUUUUUUGGUUUGUAGGUUAGAGGAUGCGAUAGAGAUACUAGAGUAUGUUGUUGGGACAAGAGAGGAGAAGCUUGGGACGGCGAAUCCGGAGGUUGAGGAUGAGAAGCAGAGGCUAGCUGCGUUGUUGAAAGAAGCUGGAAGAGGAAGGAUCAAAAGAAACAGAGCACUUCUUACAAUCUGGAGCUGAGGCAUCUCGUGGGAGGAGAUGUCGGAGAGAGAAAAAAAGACGUUGUCUUGGAGAAGAAGGAAGAAAGCAACAAGGAAAGUAAAAACAGAGAAGGUAGCUUGAGCCACAAGAAACCAGAGAAACUUGCGAAAACAAGCCCUAAUUCGAAAAUCCCUGGUUCGAGGAUCUCUUCGAGGAAAUCUCCAGAUCUCAGGAAGGUGUCUGUAGAUGAAGAGAGUCCUGAGCUAGGACCGUUGUUAUUAAAGCAAGCGAGAGAGAUGGUUUCAUCCGGCGAGAACCUAAACAAAGCUCUUGAUUUAGCGUUACGUGCGGUGAAAGCUUUCGAGAAACGCGCCGAAGGAGAGACGCAACAAGGGUUGAAUCUGGUCAUGUCUCUACAUAUAUUGGCAGCUACCUACGCCGGUUUAGGCAAGUACAACGAAGCGGUUCCCGUUCUCGAACGGUCCAUCGAGAUACCGAUGAUAGAAGACGGAGAGGACCACUCCUUAGCUAAAUUCGCAGGGUGCAUGCAGCUCGGCGACAUGUACGGCCUAAUGGGCCAAGUCGAAAACUCUCUUCUCCUCUACACAGCGGGUUUGGAGAUACAAAGACAAGUUCUCGGAGAAACAGACCCACGAGUGGGCGAAACUUGUCGGUACCUAGCAGAAGCACACGUCCAAGCGAUGCAGUUCGAAGAAGCCUCAAGGCUUUGCCAAAUGGCUUUAGACAUACACAAAGAGAACGGCUCCACAGCUACAGCUUCCAUCGAAGAAGCCGCGGAUAGAAAACUAAUGGGCCUUAUCUGCGACGCCAAAGGUGACUACGAGGUGGCCCUCGAGCAUUACGUUCUAGCCAGCAUGGCUAUGUCCUCACAGAACCAUAGAGAAGACGUUGCGUCUAUAGAUUGUAGUAUCGGUGACGCCUACAUGUCUCUAGCUAGGUUUGACGAGUCGAUAUUCUCGUACCAGAAGGCCUUGGCUGUGUUUAAACAGUCCAAAGGUGAGAAUCAUUCCUCGGUUGCUUCGGUCUACGUCAGGCUUGCUGAUCUAUACAACAAGAUAGGGAAGCUGAGAGAUUCGAAGUCCUACUGCGAAAACGCGCUAAGGAUAUACCUAAAGCCGUCUCCGGGGACUCCGAUGGAAGAGGUGGCGACGGGUUUUGUAGAGAUCUCCGCGAUUUAUCAGUCGAUGAACGAGCUUGACCAAGCGCUUAAGCUGCUGAGACGCGCGUUGAAGAUAUAUGUGAAUGCUCCGGGUCAGCA